AAGGUUUGAUCAUGGCUCAGAUUGAACGCUGGCGGCAGGCCUAAAUACAUGCAGUCGAGCGGAUGAAGGACGCUCCUGGAUUCAGCGGCGGACGGGUGUAAUGAGAUCUGCCUGGUAGUGGGGAUAACGUCCGGAAACGGCGCUAAUACCGCAUACGUCCUGAGGGAAAAGUGGGAUCUUCGGACCUCACGCUAUCGAUGAGCCUAGGUCGGAUUAGCUGGUUGGUGGUAAAGGCCUACCAAGGCGACGAUCCGUAACUGGUCUGAGAUGAUGACAUCACACUGGAACUGAGACACGGUCCAGACUCCUACGGGGAGGCAGCAGUGGGAAUAUUGGACAAUGGGCGAAAGCCUGAUCCAGCCAUGCCGCGUGUGUGGAAGGUCUUCGGAUAUGUAGCACUUUGCGUUGGGAGGAAGGCAGUAAGUUAAUACCUUGUUGUUUGACGUUAACAGAAUAAGCACCGGCUAACUUCGUACCAGCAGCCGCGGUAAUACGAAGGGUGCAGCGUUAAUCGGAACUGGGCGUAAAGCGCGUAGGUGGUUCAUAAAUGUUGGAUGUGAAACAACCUGGGAACUUCAUCCAAAACUACUGAAAUAGAGUACGGUAGAGGGGGUGGAAUUUCCUGUGUAGCGGUGAAAUGCGUAGAUUAUAGGAAGAACACCAAUGGCGAAGCGACCACCUGGACUGAUGUCUGACACUGAGGUGCGAGCGUGGGAGCAAACAGGAUUAGAUACCUGGUAGCCGCACCGUAAACGAUGUCGACGUUGGGAUCCUUGAGAUCUUAGUGGCGCAGCUAACGCGAUAAGUCGACCGCACCUGGGGAGUACGGCCGCAAGGUAAAACUCAAUAAUUGACUGAGGCCCGCACAAGCGGUGGAGCGUGGUUUAAUUCAGGCAACGCGAAGAACCUACCUAUUGACAUGCUGAGAACUUUCCAGAGAUGGAUUGGUGCCUUCGGGAACUCAGACACAGGUGCUGCAUGGCUGUCGUCAGCUCGUGUCGUGAGAUGUUAAGUCCGUAACGAGCGCAACCCUUGUCCUUAGUUACCAGCACCUCGGUGGGCACUCUAAGGAGACUGCCGACCAACCGGAGGAAGGUGGGGAUGACGUCAAGUCAUCAUGGCCCUUGGCCAGGGCUACACGUGCUACAAUGGUCGGCGUAAAGGGUGCCAAGCCGCGAGGCUAAUCCCAUAAAACCGUCAGUCCGGAUCAUGUCUGCAACUCGACUGCGUGAAGUCGGAAUCGCUAGUAAUCGUGAAUCAGAAUGUCGGUGAAUACGUUCCCGGGCCAUACACACCGCCCGUCACACCAUAGAGUGGGUUGCUCCAGAAGUAGCUAAGUCUAACCGCAAGGGGACGGUUACCACGGAGUGAUUCUGACUGGGGUGAAGUCGAAACAAGGUAGCCGUAGAAGGGAACCUGCAGCUG
rnacentral:rRNA from 1 species